GGCUAGUCUGCAGGCUGUGAAUUAUCUCGAUUGAUUGUUACAAACAGAACUUCUUGUUCUUCUCUUCCCUCUUCUCACUACUAUACUUGACUAGUCUUAA
rnacentral:Y_RNA from 1 species